rnacentral:rRNA from 1 species
UACGGAGGGUGCGAGCGUUGUCCGGAAUCACUGGGCGUAAAGGGCGCGUAGGCGGCGCGGGGAGUCAACGGUGAAAGCUCGGCGCUCAACGCCGAGUCGGCCGUCGAUACUCCCGUGCUUGAGCACUGUAGAGGCAGGUGGAAUUCCGGGUGUAGCGGUGGAAUGCGUAGAGAUCCGGAAGAACACCGGUGGCGAAGGCGGCCUGCUGGGCAGUAGCUGACGCUGAGGCGCGACAGCGUGGGGAGCAA